AUGGCGCCGGUGAGUGCUCGCUCG
rnacentral:piRNA from 1 species